rnacentral:lncRNA from 1 species
CACAAAUGUCGCAUCUACGUCCACGGUGCGGGGAUAGGUCCUGUAUGUGCCUUGUCGUGUACAAGCAGGCCGUCCGCGUGUCACCUCGUACACAGACAAGUGUCGCCCAUUGUGCAAGCACCGUCUGCAUAGUAGGCCUACGCGGAUAAGCUCUGCGCGCCUAGGACCUUCUCGCAGUAGGCCAGCAUGAGCGGUGCCAAGCGUGCUAAGGUCCUGCGUGCACGGUAGGAGGCCUGGGCGCCAGCAUGAUAGCCUGUAGUGUGCUGGUCGGGGCACUACUACCUCGAACAAUGCAUCGCUAUUAACUCUGGCAGCACACUGCUGUCGCCUUGGGUGGUGCACCGCC